rnacentral:rRNA from 1 species
AACGAACGCUGGCGGCAUGCCUAACACAUGCAAGUCGAACGAGACCUUCGGGUCUAGUGGCGCACGGGUGCGUAACGCGUGGGAACCUGCCCUUAGGUUCGGAAUAACUCCCCGAAAGGGGUGCUAAUACCGGAUAAUGUCUUCGGACCAAAGAUUUAUCGCCUUUGGAUGGGCCCGCGUUGGAUUAGCUAGUUGGUAGGGUAAAAGCCUACCAAGGCGACGAUCCAUAGCUGGUCUGAGAGGAUGAUCAGCCACACUGGGACUGAGACACGACCCAGACUCCUACGGGAGGCAGCAGUGGGGAAUAUUGGACAAUGGGCGAAAGCCUGAUCCAGCAAUGCCGCGUGAGUGAUGAAGGCCUUAGGGUUGUAAAGCUCUUUUACCCGGGAUGAUAAUGACAGUACCGGGAGAAUAGCUCCGGCUAACUCCGUG